rnacentral:rRNA from 1 species
AUGGAAUAUUUGGCGUCAGUCUAUAGGUUUUCUAGUUUUUUAAUUUCUUCUUUGGCAGAAUGUGAAAGAUUACCCUUUGAUUUACCAGGAGCGGAGGAAGAAUUAGUAGUAGGUUUCCAAACGGAAUAUUACGGUAUCAAAUAUGGUUUAUUUUAUCUUGUUUCUUACCUAAAUUUAUUAGUAUCUUCUUUAUUUGUAACAGUUCUCUACUUGGGCGGGUGGAACUUAUCUAUUCCCUAUAUAUCGUUUUUGAUUUUUUUUCCAAAUGAAUAA